rnacentral:antisense_RNA from 1 species
CUUGAUCGAGCCGAGCCACAGCGGAUCGCCGGAGCGAGUCUGGCCGUAGGUGGCCAGCAGCGCCUGCGCCUC